rnacentral:sRNA from 1 species
CUUGGAAGAUCUAGAGUGUAUAUUCUCAAAAUAGAGACGACACACGACUCAAAGACGAGAUGAUGGAUUGAAUGACGCCACAAAAGGAUGCGGAAAGCCUUUUGAUAAGUCGAGAAAAGACAUGGGGCUCAUUAAGGAUGGUGCCCUGGACGUACACUUGA